rnacentral:tRNA from 1 species
GUUAGCUCAGUCGGUAGAGCACUUGACUUUUAAUCAAGGUGUCCCGGGUUCGAAUCCCGG